CCUACGGGCGGCAGCAGUGAGGAAUAUUGGUCAAUGGCCGAGAGUCUGAACCAGCCAAGUAGCGUGAAGGAUGACUGCCCUAUGGGUUGUAAACUUCUUUUAUAAAGGAAUAAAACGAGGCACGCGUGCCUCUUCGCAUGUACUCUAUGAAUAAGGAUCGGCUAACUCCGUGCCAGCAGCCGCGGUAAUACGGAGGAUCCGAGCGUUAUCCGGAUUUAUUGGGUUUAAAGGGAGCGCAGAUGGGUAGUCAAGUCAGGUGUGAAAGUUUGCGGCUCAACCGUCAAACUGCAAUUGAUACUGGCAGUCUUGAGUGGGCGUGAGGUAGGCGGAAUGCGUGGUGUAGCGGUGAAAUGCAUAGAUAUCACGAAGAACUCCGAUUGCGAAGGCAGCUUACU
rnacentral:rRNA from 1 species